AAUAUUGGACAAUGGGGGCAACCCUGAUCCAGCCAUGCCGCGUGUGUGAAGAAGGNCUNNGGAUUNUNAAGCACUUUAAGUUGNNNNNAAGGGCUUUAGGCUAAUACCCUGCAGUUUUGACGUUACCAACAGAAUAAGCACCGGCUAACUCUGUGCCAGCAGCCGCGGUAAUACAGAGGGUGCAAGCGCUAAUCGGAAUUACGGGCCGUAAAGCGCGAGUAGGUCGUUCAGUAAGAUGGGUGUGAAAUCCCCGGGCUUAACCUGGGAACUGCUUUCAUAACAUCUGAGCUAGAGUACGGUAGAGGGUAGUGGAAUUUCCUGUGUAGCGGUGAAAUGCGUAGAUAUAGGAAGGAACACCAGUGGCGAAGGCGACUACCUGGACUGAUACUGACACUGAGGUGCGAAAGCGUGGGGAGCAAAC
rnacentral:rRNA from 1 species